rnacentral:rRNA from 1 species
GGGUCAGUAGGUUGGUCGUGCCACCGGUACGUACUGGUCUCACUGAUUCCUCCUUCCUGAAGAACCGUAGUGCCAUUAAUUUGGUGUUGCGGGGAAACAGGACUGUUACUUUGAAAAAAUUAGAGUGUUUAAAGCAAGCUAACGCUUGAAUACAUUAGCAUGGAAUAAUGAAAUAGGACGAUCGAUCCUCUUUUGUUGGUUUCUAGGAUUGACGUA